UCGAGCACGCGCGUGUGGCAUAUCAAUAAGCGGAGGAAAAGAAACUAACUAGGAUUCCCUUAGUAACAGCGAGUGAAGCGGGAAGAGCUCAAAUUUGAAAUCUUCAAGGUUCUACCUUGACGAAUUGUAGUUUAAAGAAGUGUUUUCUGUUGGAGUUUUGGUAAAAGUUCUUUGGAAUAGGACAUCAUAGAGGGUGAGAAUCCCGUAUUUGACCAUUGUUUCCAGCGUUGUGAUACACUUUCAAAGAGUCGGAUUGUUUGGGAAUGCAGUCCAAAAUGGGUGGUAAAUUUCAUCUAAAGCUAAAUAUUGGCGAGAGACCGAUAGCGAACAAGUACCGUGAGGGAAAGAUGAAAAGAACUUUGAAAAGAGAGUUAAACAGUACGUGAAAUUGUCAAAAGGGAAGCGUUUGACACCAGUGUUGUUUUUCCGAAAAUCAAUUACGAAUGUAUUGUUUUUGAGGAGUUAUGACUUCAUCGGCUUGCUCCUUUCUUUACGAAACUUCCUUAAUGCACUUUUCGGUUAACAAGUCAACAUCAAUUUCUUUUGUUGUAAAAGGGUAUGAGGAAGGUGGCUUUCUUUUCGGAGAAAGUGUUUAUAGCCUUGUGCCUCUGCAAUCGGAGAGAUUGAGGUCUGCAGCGUAGAUCCUUCGGGGUUAGAUACGUUUGUGCUAAGUUAUAGCUUUUCAUAGACAACUUGUUGACUAUGUUUAGUCUUGUAGCUUACUCGCUUAUGCUAUUUUACCUACGCUUAGGAUGUUGAGUCAUCACACAUCUCU
rnacentral:rRNA from 1 species